AGCGAACGCUGGCGGCAGGCUUAACACAUGCAAGUCGAACGGGCGUAGCAAUACGUCAGUGGCAGACGGGUGAGUAACGCGUGGGAACGUACCUUUUGGUUCGGAACAACACAGGGAAACUUGUGCUAAUACCGGAUAAGCCCUUACGGGGAAAGAUUUAUCGCCGAAAGAUCGGCCCGCGUCUGAUUAGCUAGUUGGUGAGGUAACGGCUCACCAAGGCGACGAUCAGUAGCUGGUCUGAGAGGAUGAUCAGCCACAUUGGGACUGAGACACGGCCCAAACUCCUACGGGAGGCAGCAGUGGGGAAUAUUGGACAAUGGGCGCAAGCCUGAUCCAGCCAUGCCGCGUGAGUGAUGAAGGCCCUAGGGUUGUAAAGCUCUUUUGUGCGGGAAGAUAAUGACGGUACCGCAAGAAUAAGCCCCGGCCAACUUCGUG
rnacentral:rRNA from 1 species